rnacentral:rRNA from 1 species
AACGAACGCUGGCGGCAUGCCUAACACAUGCAAGUCGAACGAGACCUUCGGGUCUAGUGGCGCACGGGUGCGUAACGCGUGGGAACCUGCCCUUAGGUUCGGAAUAACUCCCCGAAAGGGGUGCUAAUACCGGAUAAUGUCUUCGGACCAAAGAUUUAUCGCCUUUGGAUGGACCCGCGUUGGAUUAGCUAGUUGGUAGGGUAAAAGCCUACCAAGGCGACGAUCCAUAGCUGGUCUGAGAGGAUGAUCAGCCACACUGGGACUGAGACACGGCCCAGACUCCUACGGGAGGCAGCAGUGGGGAAUAUUGGAAAAUGGGCGAAAGCAUGAUCCAGCAAUGCCGCGUGAGUGAUGAAGGCCUUAGGGUUGUAAAGCUCUUUUACCCGGGAUGAUAAUGACAGUACCGGGAGAAUAAGCUCCGGCUAACUCCGUG